rnacentral:rRNA from 1 species
GGUAGAGAAUACCAAGGCGCUUGAGAGAACUCGGGUGAAGGAACUAGGCAAAAUGGCACCGUAACUUCGGGAGAAGGUGCGCCGGUGAGGGUGAAGUAUUUACUACGUAAGCCCAUGCCGGUCGAAGAUACCAGGCCGCUGCGACUGUUUAUUAAAAACACAGCACUCUGCAAACACGAAAGUGGACGUAUAGGGUGUGACGCCUGCCCAGUGCCGGAAGGUUAAUUGAUGGGGUUAGCGCAAGCGAAGCUCUUGAUCGAAGCCCCGGUAAACGGCGGCCGUAACUAUAACGGUCCUAAGGUAGCGAAAUUCCUUGUCGGGUAAGUUCCGACCUGCACGAAUGGCGUAACGAUGGCGGCGCUGUCUCCACCCGAGACUCAGUGAAAUUGAAAUCGCUGUGAAGAUGCAGUGUAUCCGCGGCUAGACGGAAAGACCCCGUGAACCUUUACUAUAGCUUUGCACUGGACUUUGAGCUUGCUUGUGUAGGAUAGGUGGGAGCUUUGAAGUGGGGACGCCAGUUCUCAUGGAGCCAUCCUUGAAAUACCACCCUGGCAACCUUGAGGUUCUAACUCUGGUCCGUCAUCCGGAUCGAGGACAGUGUAUGGUGGGUAGUUUGACUGGGGCGGUCUCCUCCCAAAGAGUAACGGAGGAGUACGAAGGUGCGCUCAGACCGGUCGGAAAUCGGUCGUAGAGUAUAAAGGCAAAAGCGCGCUUGACUGCGAGACAGACACGUCGAGCAGGUACGAAAGUAGGUCUUAGUGAUCCGGUGGUUCUGUAGUGGAAGGGCCGUCGCUCAACGGAUAAAAGGUACUCCGGGGAUAACAGGCUGAUACCGCCCAAGAGUUCAUAUCGACGGCGGAGGUUUGGCACCUCGAUGUCGGCUCAUCACAUCCUGGGGCUGAAGCCGGUCCCAAGGGUAUGGCUGUUCGCCAUUUAAAGUGGUACGCGAGCUGGGUUUAGAACGUCGUGAGACAGUUCGGUCCCUAUCUGCCGUGGACGUUUGAGAUUUGAGAGGGGCUGACCUUAGUACGAGAGGACCGGGUUGGACGAACCUCUGGUGUUCCGGUUGUCACGCCAGUGGCAUUGCCGGGUAGCUAUGUUCGGAAAAGGAUAACCGCUGAAAGCAUCUAAGUGGGAACUUGCCUCAAGAUGAGAUCUCACUGGAGCCUUGAGCUCCCUAAAGGGCCGUCGAAGACUACGACGUUGAUAGGUUGGGUGUGUAAGCGCUGUGAGGCGUUGAGCUAACCAAUACUAAUUGCCCGUGAGGCUUGACCAU